CCGGACCGGCGCACGGGUGAGUAACACGUAUGCAACCUGGCCGCCACAGGGGGAUAACCCGCGGAAACGCGGCCUAAUACCCCGUGACGCCACCGGAGGGCAUCCUCCGGUGGCCAAAGGAGCGAUCCGGUGGCGGAUGGGCAUGCGGCGCAUUAGCUAGACGGCGGGGUGACGGCCCACCGUGGCGACGAUGCGUAGGGGUUCUGAGAGGAAGGCCCCCCACACUGGGACUGAGACACGGCUCAGACUCCUACGGGAGGCAGCAG
rnacentral:rRNA from 1 species